UACGUAGGGUGCGAGCGUUGUCCGGAAUUAUUGGGCGUAAAGGGCUCGUAGGCGGUCUGUCGCGUCGGGAGUGAAAACUCAGGGCUUAACCCUGAGCCUGCUUCCGAUACGGGCAGACUAGAGGUAUGCAGGGGAGAGCGGAACUCCUGGUGUAGCGGUGGAAUGCGCAGAUAUCAGGAAGAACACCGGUGGCGAAGGCGGCUCUCUGGGCCUUACCUGACGCUGAGGAGCGAAAGCGUGGGUAGCGAACAGG
rnacentral:rRNA from 1 species